ACACCCACAGCCGCCCUUAAACACUCUCUUCUCUCCCAAACCUAAACCCUAACCGACUCAGAAAAUUUUCCUUCGCCCUUUCCUUAUACGCGUUCAUACACGGGUUCACUUGCCUUAUUUGUUCUUACUUACUCAGUUAUGGUAACUUUCGUUACCAGUCUGUCUAUGGCAAGGACGAUUCUCUUGAAUCGGGUAGAUAUGACUUCGGCCUUAUGGAUUUGGAUAUGAUCUUGGCUUUAUAAAUCCGGGAAGAGAGAAUAUCUUUCCAAUCUCGCGUAUCUCUGCUGAUUUCUUCGUGAUUAGGGUUUGUGUGCGACUUGCAAUACAUCUGAUUCCAACUAGGUUUGCAUGAUUUUGAUUCUUUCGUUAUUUAUUUGUCUGAUACUGGUACUAUGUAAUCCCCCCCCUUUCCCCUAAGAGGCAGACUUAGGUCACUCAUCUCUCAUCUCUCACUUUCACUUGUUGCUCUGUUUUCUUGUUUCCACUGUUCUUUGGUUGAUUUUUGGCCGGCUGAAAGUCAAGGCCAAUGGGCUUUUGGUUUUUAACCUUACUGGAAUAAGCACUGCUCGGGAUCCCUAGAGGUCCUCGUGAACUCUGAUUUGCCGGGAUUCAAGAUUCUGGGAACACCAUUUGGCACUCUUUUCAAUUUCUAUUACCUAUUCCAUUUAUCAUCUUGACUGGUUAGUCUCUUUAGCCUCUAUUUUACUCUUGCAUGUUUAGUUGUGAUGUGAAUGGCUUUUCCAAUUGUGUUCUUGUCUUAAUUUUUGUAGUCAAAGGAUGUUCAUAGGAAAUCUUUGCUAUUGUCUCACCUCAUACAGUUCAACUGUUGAUGUUUAUGUUUAAAUCAUGACUAUGCUCGAUGACUGUUUGUAUAAUUAGACUUAACUAGUCGAUUGAGUAAGGAUAUUGUUUGAAUUUGGUGUUUGGAGUGUCACUCUUUGAUAAUUAUUUUACCAUGUUAUUAAACUUAGAAGGCGACUGAAAUUGGUUAUGAUUGAUAGAGUAGGACUGUAGAUUCAUGUUAUUUGCUAUUUAAUAAGAGACCUCACAUGUGUUUUUUUCCCAUGAUAAGUCAGACCCUAAGUUUGCCUAAAAAUCAUGCUCCUAUUGUUAUCAAUCAUUAACGAGGCCUCAAAUUGGAGGACAUUCGUUUAUGUGUUGUUCAUGCCUCAAUUCUAUGGUAUCCAUAGUUUCUUAGGACCUGCCUCUUCCUUGUUAAUAAUGAACUUGCCUGUAGACCUUUAGCUAGUUGUUUUGUGUAAAUUUUGUCCAUUAGGACUUGGGUUUUCUUGUUUGAAUUAGUGACAAGCAUGAUAGAUGUAGUACACAUUGCCUUGCUUACAACUUGUGUUAUUUGUUUGAAAUUCUUUUCCUCACAUUUUGUUUGAACGACUAAUCGCUAAAAUACAUAUUAGCAUGUGCAUCUGGAAGGUCUGCCUCUAAGGGUGAAGUUUUGUUAGCCUGGUCCUCUAAAUUGGUCAUGAGCAUGGUUUGGAUGAGUCUUGCCUAUGAGAUCAUUCGGGUAUCACAUUCAACAUGGCUUUUCAUUGCUGCUGAGUUAUGAGUGCAACUUUUGGGUCUCGUCCAUUUCCUGGGAAAUUCUGAAGGCCAGAUACACUUCGGUUCACAUUGUAUCAAAUUACUAUGUCACUGGGCCUGUGGCCAGUGUAUUUUUAUCUCUUACUUGUAAUAAUGAC
rnacentral:lncRNA from 1 species